GAUGAACGCUGGCGGCGUGCCUAAUACAUGCAAGUCGAGCGAACAGACGAGGAGCUUGCUCCUCUGACGUUAGCGGCGGACGGGUGAGUAACACGUGGAUAACCUACCUAUAAGACUGGGAUAACUUCGGGACACCGGAUCUAAUACCGGAUAAUAUAUUUAACCGCAUGGUUCAAUAGUGAAAGACGGUUUUGCUGUCACUUAUAGAUGUAUCCGCGCCGCAUUAGCUAGUUGGUAAGGUAACGGCUUACCAAGGCAACGAUGGGUAGCCGACGUGAGAGGGGGAUCGGCCACAGUGGAACUGAGACACGGUCCAGAGUCCGACGGGAGGCAGAAGUAGGGAAUCUUCCGAAAUGGGGGGAAGCCUGAAGGAGGAACGCAGGGUGAGUGAUGAAGGGCUUCGGAUCGUAAAACUCUGUUAUUAGGGAAGAACAAAUGUGUAAGUAACUAUGCACGUCUUGACGGUACCUAAUCAGAAAGCCACGGCUAACUACGUG
rnacentral:rRNA from 1 species